rnacentral:tRNA from 1 species
AGGAGCGUCGGUUAAUGGUAAACCACCGGUCUCCAAAACCGGAACUGCAGGUUCGAUUCCUGCCGCUCCUGCCA